rnacentral:misc_RNA from 1 species
AAGAAUGAGGCCAUCUGGUCUCGAUCCCACGCCUCUCUGGCUGUGCGCCAUGCUGCACGCUUGAGAACACGUGAUUCUCACACCUGUGCACCUUUGGAAACGAGGGACUUUUUCGUCUCUCGUGUCUGUAUCUACAAACUUAACAGUCAAGAAAGUCAUUUUGUUUUCUUUAAUGAAAAAUA